UAGUGAGGUGUAAUGGCUAAUAUAUUUUCUUUCCAUUUUUAACCUGCUUAUCAAUUAAUUUUGAGGCAAGCAAUUGAUUGGUAUAUGUUUCCAAUCGAUUGGUAAGUCAUAAAUUUCCCUUAAAAUAAUUUCCAUUUUGAUCCAACCUCUAGCUUAUAAAUAGAGGUCCCUUCCCUCAUUUCAAAUCAUCCAGAAUCGUGUUCCAUUUC
rnacentral:lncRNA from 1 species